AAGCGGUGGAGCAUUGUGGUUUAAUUCGAAGCAACGCGAAGAACCUUACCAGGUCUUGACAUCCCGAUGCUAUUUCUAGAGAUAGAAAGUUACUUCGGUACAUCGGUGACAGGUGGUGCAUGGUUGUCGUCAGCUCGUGUCGUGAGAUGUUGGGUUAAGUCCCGCAACGAGCGCAACCCCUAUUGUUAGUUGCCAUCAUUCAGUUGGGCACUCUAGCGAGACUGCCGGUAAUAAACCGGAGGAAGGUGGGGAUGACGUCAAAUCAUCAUGCCCCUUAUGACCUGGGCUACACACGUGCUACAAUGGUUGGUACAACGAGUUGCGAGUCGGUGACGGCGAGCUAAUCUCUUAAAGCCAAUCUCAGUUCGGAUUGUAGGCUGCAACUCGCCUACAUGAAGUCGGAAUCGCUAGUAAUCGCGGAUCAGCACGCCGCGGUGAAUACGUUCCCGGGCCUU
rnacentral:rRNA from 1 species